rnacentral:ncRNA from 2 species
AGGAUAGAGGCGCAGUUGUCAGGACUAGCUCCGGUGGAAAAGGCAUGCAAAGCCGUUGCCGGGGUGAAAGGGGCCGCUGCCGAAGGUGGGAAAGCUGCGAAUCCCGCCUGGUCACUCGGAGAACAUCCGUUUGACUGUCGCAUUUGCGGAGAGCUAUGGAU